UUUGUGCGUGGCAGUGCGUGCAGAGGGAGCGCAGUUCAUCCUUGUUUGUGUAUUAAAUAUUAAAAGUAUAGCCGGUUUUAAUUCGGUGUGUGUGCAUUUUAACUUUUGUGGGGGGGUUAACCUGUUUGUUUACGUUGUGUGUGAGUGUCUGUGUGUGUGUGGUCCACGGGCCUUUAUAGUGAAAUCCGAGGGGAAGCAGCUUGUGUCCGAGGCGUGGAGGGAGCCUCAUCCGGCCUGCUACCAGCCAGCCAGCCGGGCUCUGACGGCGCACAGCGGUCGCUAUGGCGGUGAACUUAGACAAGGAGGCCUACUACCGCCGGAUCAAGCGAUUAUACGGCAACUGGAAGAAAGGAGAAGAUGAAUUCGGCAAAGUGGAUGCCAUCGUGGUGUCUGUCGGAGUGGACGAGGAAAUUGUCUACGCCAAGUCCACAGCCUUACAGACCUGGCUGUUCGGCUACGAGCUGACGGACACCAUCAUGGUGUUCUGCGAGAACAAGAUCAUCUUCCUGGCCAGCAAGAAGAAAGUAGAGUUCCUCAAACAGGUGGCCAUAACCAAAGGCAACGAGAACGCCAACGGUGUCCCGCCCAUCACCCUGCUCACCAGAGAAAAGAAUGAAAGCAACAAGGCCAACUUUGACAAGAUGAUCGAGGCCAUCAGAGGCAGCAAAGAAGGGAAAACGGUGGGAGUCUUCAGCAAGGACAAAUUCCCCGGGGAGUACAUGAAGAGCUGGAACGACACCAUCACCGCCGAGGGACUGGAGAAGGUGGACAUCAGCGCCGUGGUCGCCUACACGAUGGCGGUGAAGGAGGACGGGGAGUUGGCCCUGAUGAAGAAGGCAGCAGCUGUCACCAGCGAGGUUUACUCCAAGUUCUUCAAGGAGCGCGUCAUGGAGAUCGUGGACGCAGACGAGAAAGUGCGCCACAGUAAGCUGGCGGAGUCGGUGGAGAAGGCGAUCGAGGAGAAGAAGUACCUGGGCGGCGCCGACCCCUCCACGGUAGAGAUGUGUUACCCCCCUAUCAUCCAGAGCGGAGGAAACUACAGCCUCAAGUUCAGCGUUGUCAGCGAUAAGAACCACAUGCACUUCGGUGCCAUCACAUGUGCCAUGGGGAUCCGCUACAAGUCGUACUGCUCCAACCUGGUGCGCACCCUGAUGGUGGACCCGCCACAGGAGAUGCAGGACAACUACAACUUCCUGCUGCAGGUGGAGGAGGAGCUGCUCAAGGAGCUCAAACACGGGGUGAAGAUCUGCGACGCCUACAACGCUGUCGUGGAGUACGUCAAGAAAGAGAAGCCAGACCUCGUCGCCAAGCUCACCAAAAACCUCGGUUUCGCCAUGGGAAUUGAGUUCAGAGAGGGCUCUUUGGUUCUGAACGGUAAAAACCAGUACAAGCUGAAAAAAGGCAUGGUGUUGAGUAUCAGUCUGGGCUUUUCUGACAUGGUGAAUAAAGAGGGGAAGAAGGAGGAGCAGAAGAAAUACGCUCUGUUUAUCGGAGACAGUGUACAGAUCAACGAGGAGGAAGCUGCCACGAUACUCACACCUGUCAAGAAAAAGAUCAAGAAUGUGGGAAUAUUCCUCAAGAAUGAUGACGAGGAAGAUGAGGAUGAAGAGGCAGAUGAUGCUGAGGAGCUUCUGGGCAAAGGAGCACGAGGUGCAGCUCUUCUGGCAGACAGAACCAGGAAUGAGAUGACAGCGGAGGAGAAGAGGCGAGCUCAUCAGAAGGAGCUGGCCAAUCAGGUGAACGAGGAGGCCAAGCGCCGUCUGACGGAGCAGAAAGGAGAGCAGCAGAUUCAGAAGGCCAGAAAAUCAAACGUCUCCUACAAGAACGUGUCCCAGAUGCCCAGAGAAAAAGACAUCAGGGACAUGAAGAUCUUCAUCGACAAGAAAUACGAGACCGUCGUCAUGCCCGUCUUCGGCAUCGCCACGCCUUUCCACAUCGCCACCAUCAAGAACAUCAGUAUGUCGGUAGAGGGCGACUACACCUACCUGAGGAUCAACUUCUACGUCCCCGGCAGCUCCCUGGGACGCCACGAGGGAAACAUCUUCCCCAACCCCGACGCCACAUUUGUCAAAGAAAUCACGUACCGCGCAUCCAACCUGAAGGCCCCCGGCGACACGUCGGUGCCCUCCACCAACCUGCAGAACGCCUUCCGCAUCAUCAAGGAGGUGCAGAAGCGCUACAAGACGCGGGAGGCGGAGGAGAAGGAGAAGGAGGGCAUCGUCAAGCAGGACUCGCUGGUCAUCAACCUCAACCGCAGCAACCCCAAGCUCAAAGACCUCUACAUCCGACCCAACAUCGCCCAGAAGAGGAUGCAGGGCUCGCUGGAGGCUCACACCAACGGUUUCCGCUUCACGUCGGUCCGCGGAGACAAAGUGGACAUCCUCUACAACAACAUCAAGCACUCCAUCUUCCAGCCCUGUGACGGGGAAAUGAUUAUCGUACUGCACUUCCACCUCAAGAACGCCAUCAUGUUCGGCAAGAAGCGCCACACGGACGUCCAGUUCUACACGGAGGUCGGGGAGAUCACCACGGACUUGGGCAAGCACCAGCACAUGCACGACCGCGACGACCUGUACGCCGAGCAGAUGGAGCGGGAGAUGAGGCACAAGCUCAAGUCGGCGUUCAAGAACUUCAUCGAGAAGGUGGAGACGCUGACUAAAGAGGAACUGGAGUUCGAGGUUCCCUUCAGAGACCUGGGGUUCCAGGGCGCCCCCUACAGGAGUACAUGUCUCCUACAACCAACAUCCAGUUCCCUUGUCAAUGUUACUGAGUGGCCGCCCUUCGUGGUGACCCUGGACGAGGUGGAGCUGGUGCACUUUGAGCGCGUGCAGUUUCACCUGAAGAACUUCGACGUGGUCAUCGUCUACAAGGACUACAACAAGAAGGUCACCAUGAUCAACGCCGUGCCCGUCAACUCCCUGGACCCCAUCAAGGAGUGGCUCAACUCGUGUGACAUCAAGUACACAGAAGGAGUUCAGUCGCUGAACUGGACCAAGAUCAUGAAGACCAUAGUUGAUGAUCCGGAGGGCUUCUUCGAGCAGGGCGGCUGGUCGUUCUUGGACCCGGAGAGCGAGGGAAGUGGUGCAGAGGAGGACUCCGAGUCAGAAAUGGAGGAUGAGACGUUUAACCCCUCUGCAGAAGAGGAUGAGGACGAAGAAGAAGACAGUGACGAGGACUAUGACUCAGAGACGGAGGACUCCGACUACAGCGCGUCGCUGGGCAGCGAGGAGGAGAGCGGCAAAGACUGGGACGAGCUGGAGGAGGAAGCCAGGAAAGCCGACAGAGAGAGCCACUACGAGGACGCAGAGGAGACCUCCAACAGGAAGAGGAAGGUUCGAUCAGCAGCUCCGCCCAGCAAGAAGAAACGGCGGCAUUAAAUGUCCCUUCUCUCUCUCUCGCUCUCUCACACACACAUACACACACACACACACACACACACACACAGACACACACACAUGCACACACCGAUACACACUGUCUCCCUCCCACCUUUCCUUCUUUCUGUCCUUUUUUUUCAUUCUGGGUAGAUUGUUGUACUUGUAAUUCUGAAAAUCCUGUUUUUGUUUUUGUAAUAAAAUUAAAAGGAACUGUAGUUUA